AUAUUCUCAAAAUCUUCAAAAAAGUUUGGCAAGGAAGCUAAAUUUGAUGAUUCUGAGCGGCUUCGCCCUGAAGAAUUGAAUCAGCAAAACAUUGAAGCUUUAGUUGCAGAGAGCAAUUUGAAAAUGGAGGUACUUCCAGUGAGCGAUCUGGACGUUGCCCUGCACAAUUUUGUUAACAAGGAUGAGAAAAUGGCUUUUUAUUCUUGUGUACAAUACUACCUUGAGGAAACUCGA